AAUAAGAAAAGAAAAAAGGUACAUUGCAUAUAUUUUGAAACAUCACCCUUAAACAAAUAAGAUAAAUUAAAUUAAUAAAUAGAAAAGAAAACAGGUACAACCCCGAGACAACUUGCAGCCACUCCCCGGAGAGCAUCCCCACUUCCCUUUUCCUUCCUGGAAGGGUUUCCCUGGCCACGGGGGGCUGCUGAGGCUGUGAAUGAGGGGAACUGAAAUGCUGACCACCCCAGCGCCAUCCACCAUCCCAGCACCAUCCACCACCCCAGCACCAUCCACCACCCCAGCGCCAUCCACCACCCCAGCGCCAUCCACCAUCCCAGCACCAUCCACCACCCCAGCACCAUCCUUGGUGCUUCCACCGUGCGGCCCUGCCCCCGGCCCCACCUCCUCCCUGCUGUCCUGGGUCACCAACUCCCUGGUCUGUGCAGACCCCAGGCACUGGCCCCACUCCCUCCUG
rnacentral:lncRNA from 1 species